rnacentral:misc_RNA from 1 species
UCCGGUUUGUCACCGGCGGUCCCCUUAGAGUUCCCAACUAAAUGCUGGCAACUAAGGGUAAGGGUUGCGCUCGUUGCGGGACUUAACCCAACAUCUCACGACACGAGCUGACGACAACCAUGCACCACCUGUCACCACUGUCCCCGAAGGGAAAGAUGUAUCUCUACACCGGUCAGUGGGAUGUCAAGACCUGGUAAGGUUCUUCGCGUUGCUUCGAAUUAAACCACAUGCUCCACCGCUUGUGCGGGUCCCCGUCAAUUCCUUUGAGUUUUAGCCUUGCGGCCGUACUCCCCAGGCGGGGCGCUUAAUGCGUUAGCUGCGGCACGGAACCCGUGGAAUGGACCCCACACCUAGCGCCCAACGUUUACGGCGUGGACUAC